rnacentral:rRNA from 1 species
AGUAGAGUGGCGCACGGGUGAGUAACGCGUAAGUAAUCUACCCUGGCAUCUGGAAUAACCCACCGAAAGGUGUGCUAAUACCGGAUACGCUGAUUUAUCAGGAAAGGUGGCCUCUUCAUGAAAGCUACUGUGCUGGGAGGAGCUUGCGUACCAUUAGCUAGUUGGUGGGGUAAUGGCCUACCAAGGCGACGAUGGUUAGCGGGUCUGAGAGGAUGAUCCGCCACACUGGAACUGGAACACGGACCAGACUCCUACGGGAGGCAGCAGUGAGGAAUAUUGCGCAAUGGGGGAAACCCUGAUGGAGCGACGCCGCGUGGGGGAUGACGGCCUUCGGGUUGUAAACCCCUGUCAUCCGGGAGUAAAGCUCAGUGGUUAAUACCCGCUGGGUUGAUAGUACGGAAGAGGAAGCAGUGGCUAACUCCGUGCCAGCAGCCCGCGGUAAUACGGAGACUGCAAGCGUUGUUCGGAUUCAUUGGGGCGUUAAAGGG